AUUGAACGCUGGCGGCAUGCUUUACACAUGCAAGUCGAACGGCAGCUCGGGCUUCGUCCUGGCUGCGAGUUUCUAACGUGUUUGUAAUGCAUCUGAACGUUCCCAUUAGUGUUGUAUAGCCCUUCUAAAUCCUUAUUUAUACCUCAUCCGACCUGAGGUUGAAAUCGUGGGACCGAAAUGCCUCGCGCUAUUUUAUCUCCCGAUGUCGUAUUAGCUAGUUGGUGUGGUAAAGGCUUACCAAGUCGACGAUCCGUAGCUUGUCUUAGAGGACGACCAGCCACAAUGGGAGUGAGACAAGGCACAGAAAACUACGGGAGGAAGCAGUGGGGAAUUUUGGAAAAUGGGGGCAAAACUGAUAAAGCAAUGCAGCGUGAGGGAAGAAGGCAUUCGGGUUGUAAACAGCUUUUGUUCGGGAAGAAAAACUAUGGGAUAAUAACCCGGGGGGAUGACGGUAACGGAAGAAUAAGCAACGGCUAAGUACGUG
rnacentral:rRNA from 1 species